UACAGAGGAGCCAAGCGUUGUCCGGAUUGACUGGGCGUAAAGCGCACGUAGGCGGACUCUUAAGUCGGGGGUGAAAGCCCAGGGCUCAACCCUGGAAUUGCCUUCGAUACUGGGAGUCUUGAGUAUGGCAGAGGUUGGUGGAACUGCGAGUGUAGAGGUGAAAUUCGUAGAUAUUCGCAAGAACACCAGUGGCGAAGGCGGCCAACUGGGCCAUUACUGACGCUGAGGUGCGAAAGCGUGGGGAGCAAACAGG
rnacentral:rRNA from 1 species